rnacentral:rRNA from 1 species
UCGUAACAGGUCUCCGUUGGUGAACCAGCGGAGGGAUCAUUACCGAGUUUACAACUCCCAAACCCCUGUGAACAUACCUAUACGUUGCCUCGGCGGAUCAGCCCGCGCCCCGUAAAAAGGGACGGCCCGCCCGAGGACCCCUAAACUCUGUUUUUAGUGGAACUUCUGAGUAAAACAAACAAAUAAAUCAAAACUUUCAACAACGGAUCUCUUGGUUCUGGCAUCGAUGAAGAACGCAGCAAAAUGCGAUAAGUAAUGUGAAUUGCAGAAUUCAGUGAAUCAUCGAAUCUUUGAACGCACAUUGCGCCCGCCAGUAUUCUGGCGGGCAUGCCUGUUCGAGCGUCAUUUCAACCCUCAAGCUCAGCUUGGUGUUGGGACUCGCGGUAACCCGCGUUCCCCAAAUCGAUUGGCGGUCACGUCGAGCUUCCAUAGCGUAGUAAUCAUACACCUCGUUACUGGUAAUCGUCGCGGCCACGCCGUAAAACCCCAACUUCUGAAUGUUGACCUCGGAUCAGGUAGGAAUACCCGCUGAACUUAAGCAUAUCA